GUGUAUCUCUUACACACCUGGAGCAGUUCAUGUCAGCUGCUAAGGUUUCCACUACGGAUGCAAGAAAAAGAAGGUCCUCGCGCUUUCUGUCCGUCUGGUUGUGGCAGCCAAGAUUGAAUGGAGGACUACAGGA
ensembl:snoRNA